GUUCAGUGGGAGACCCUGACUCAAAAUGAGGUAGAGAAAUGGUGAGAUGGCUCAGGGGGUCAAAGGUCUAACUGAGCAAGCCUGAAAGCAUACAUUUAGUUCUCAGAACUCAUGUAAGAAAGCCAGAUACCAAUGGCUGUGCCGUACCAUUGUCGGUCCACCAACAGUAAGAGAAGCUUUGCAGACGGGAUAUAGUUUGACAGACUAAGUGGUUUCUGUUAAACACUUAAGUACUGCUACAAAA